rnacentral:rRNA from 1 species
GAUGAACGCUGGCGGCGUGCCUAAUACAUGCAAGUCGAGCGAACGGACGAGAAGCUUGCUUCUCUGAUGUUAGCAGCGGACGGGUGAGUAACACGUGGAUAACCUACCUAUAAGACUGGGAUAACUUCGGGAAACCGGAGCUAAUACCGGAUAAUAUUUUGAACCGCAUGGUUCAAAAGUGAAAGACGGUCUUGCUGUCACUUAUAGAUGGAUCCGCGCUCAUUAGCUAGUUGGUAAGGUAACGGCUUACCAAGGCAACGAUGCAUAGCCGACCUGAGAGGGUGAUCGGCCACACUGGAACUGAGACACGGUCCAGACUCCUACGGGAGGCAGCAGUAGGGAAUCUUCCGCAAUGGGCGAAAGCCUGACGGAGCAACGCCGCGUGAGUGAUGAAGGUCUUCGGAUCGUAAAACUCUGUUAUUAGGGAAGAACAUAUGUGUAAGUAACUGUGCACAUCUUGACGGUACCUAAUCAGAAAGCCACGGCUAACUACGUG